rnacentral:rRNA from 1 species
ACUCAAAGGAAUAGACGGGGGCCCGCACAAGCAGCGGAGCGUGUGGUUUAAUUCGAUGCAACGCGCAGAACCUUACCGGGGUUUGACAUGCUCAUGUAAGGCCCAGAGAUGGGUCCCCUCUUCGGAGCGUGAGCACAGGUGCUGCAUGGCUGUCGUCAGCUCGUGCCGUGAGGUGUUGGGUUAAGUCCCGCAACGAGCGCAACCCUCGUCGCUAGUUGCAUCUUUCUAGCGAGACCGCUGCGCAAAACGCAGAGGAAGGUGGGGAUGACGUCAAGUCAUCAUGGCCUUUAUGCCCCGGGCUACACACACGCUACAAUGGGCGGUACAGACGGUUGCCAACCCGCGAGGGGGAGCUAAUCCGACAAAGCCGUCCUCAGUCCAGAUUGCAGGCUGCAACUCGCCUGCAUGAAGACGGAGUUGCUAGUAACCGCAGGUCAGCACACUGCGGUGAAUACGUUCCCGGGCCUUGUACACACCGCCCGU